rnacentral:misc_RNA from 1 species
UUAAGUUCAGCGGGUAUUCCUACCUGAUCCGAGGUCAAAUUUUCAGAAGUUGGGGGUUUAACGGCAGGCACCGCCAGGGCCUUCCAGAACGAAAUAUAAUUACUACGCUCGGGGUCCUGGCGAGCUCGCCACUAGAUUUCAGGGCCCGCCCUUUUACAGGCGGUGCCCCAACACCAAGCAAUGCUUGAGGGUUGAAAUGA